rnacentral:sRNA from 1 species
GUCAGCACCCCCGCCUGAAGCACGGGGGCUUCGUGCCUCCCGCAACAGAAUAGCUGACCAGCUAUAGCCGUAACUGGCUACGUUCAGAGCAAGAGUUAAAGUUCCUACCCUGGAAUGCGUGCUAGUUCCCGGCUCUAGAACCGAAUCGUUAAACAGUUUUAAGGGGUUAAGACAGUGCGAUUUGGAGAGACUCUUCCUGUUAGGCAAUUCACUGAACAACGAUUGACAAAGGUCAACAAUUGCGUUAAGCUA